AAGUCGUAACAAGGUUUCCGUAGGUGAACCUGCGGAAGGAUCAUUAAUGAAUAAAAGGGUGCCCUCUUCAUCAGAGGGGCCUGACCUUCAUUCUUCUACACUGUGAACUAUUAUAAAUCUAUUUGGCAGUCUCCACUUGGGAUUAGGUUCCUGAUGAAGAUGACUUGCCAGAUUCAUUUUCUCCUUAAACUCUACAAGUCUAAGAAUGUAUACAAACCUAAAACUAAAGAAAAAG
rnacentral:misc_RNA from 1 species